CCUUCGGUAGCUCAGUUAGUAGAGCGGUAGACUGUAGAAUAUAAAAUCUGGUUAUAAAACACAGAUAUCCAUAGGUCGCUGGUUCAAAUCCGGCCCGAAUAU